rnacentral:rRNA from 1 species
AUUGAACGCUGGCGGCAGGCCUAACACAUGCAAGUCGAGCGGCAGCGGGAAAGUAGCUUGCUACUUUUGCCGGCGAGCGGCGGACGGGUGAGUAAUGCCUGGGAAAUUGCCCAGUCGAGGGGGAUAACAGUUGGAAACGACUGCUAAUACCGCAUACGCCCUACGGGGGAAAGCAGGGGACCUUCGGGCCUUGCGCGAUUGGAUAUGCCCAGGUGGGAUUAGCUAGUUGGUGAGGUAAUGGCUCACCAAGGCGAAGAUCCCUAGCUGGUCUGGGAGGAUGAUCAGCCACACUGGAACGGAGACACGGUCCAGACUCCUACGGGAGGCAGCAGUGGGGAAUAUUGCACAAUGGGGGAAACCCUGAUGCAGCCAUGCCGCGUGUGUGAAGAAGGCCUUCGGGUUGUAAAGCACUUUCAGCGAGGAGGAAAGGUCAGUAGCUAAUAUCUGCUGACUGUGACGUUACUCGCAGAAGAAGCACCGGCUAACUCCGUGCCAGCCGCCGCAGUAAAAC